GAUAUUAAUAGGAGCUAGAGUGAAUGAAAAAUUAUUAUCAGUGUAUUUAUAUACAAUAAUAUGUUCAUGUGGUUAACUGUGUAAACUGACAGAGGUCACACAUACAAUGAUUAAACAUGAAUCCAUCAAUAAUAAGGAUAUACUAGUGAUAUUGAUUGGUCUACUAGUGUAAUACCUCUGGACCAGUAUCAAGAUCAACUAAGAAGAUGGAUACUGAGUGAUUGGGAGAAUUUAGGAUUAAGCAAAGAGGUUCAAUUACUCAGAGGGCACCUACAAGACAGAAAAA